GGUGAACGCUGGCGGUAUGCUUAACACAUGCAAGUCGAACGGUCACUUCGGUGAUAGUGGCGGACGGGUGAGUAACGCGUGAGAAUCUGUCUUCAGGUCGGGGACAACAGUUAGAAAUGACUGCUAAUACCGGAUGUGCCUUUGGGUGAAAGAUUUAUUGCCUGAAAAAGAGCUCGCGUCAGAUUAGCUAGUAGGUGGUGUAAGAGACUACCUAGGCUCCGAUCUGUAGCUGGUCUGAGAGGACGAUCAGCCACACUGGAACUGAGACACGGUCCAGACUCCUACGGGAGGCAGCAGUGGGGAAUUUUCCGCAAUGGGCGAAAGCCUGACGGAGUAAUACCGCGUGAGGGACGAAGGCUUUUGGGUCGUAAACCUCUUUUCUCAAGGAAGAUGAUGACGGUACUUGAGGAAUAAGCAUCGGCUAACUCUGUG
rnacentral:rRNA from 1 species